rnacentral:rRNA from 1 species
AGUGAACGCUGGCGGUAGGCCUAACACAUGCAAGUCGAACGGCAGCACAGUAAGAGCUUGCUCUUACGGGUGGCGAGUGGCGGACGGUUGAGGAAUACAUCGGAAUCUACUUUUUCGUGGGGGAUAACGUAGGGAAACUUACGCUAAUACCGCAUACGACCUACGUGUGAAAGCAGGGGAUCUUCGGACCUUGCGCGAUUGAAUGAGCCGAUGUCGGCUUAGCUAGUUGGCGGGGUAAAGGCCCACCAAGGCGACGAUCCGUAGCUGGUAUGAGAGGAUGAACAGACACACUGGAACUGAGACACGGUACAGACUCCUACGGGAUGCAGCAGUGGGGAAUAUUGGACAAUGGGCGCAAGCCUGAUCCAGCAAUACCGCGUGGGUGAAGAAGGAGUUCGGGUUGUAAAGCCAUUUUGUUGGGAAAGAAAAGCAGCAGGUUAAUACCCCGCUGUUCUGACGGUACCCAAAGAAUAAGCACCGGCUAACUUCGUG